rnacentral:rRNA from 1 species
AUUGAACGCUGGCGGCAGGCCUAACACAUGCAAGUCGAGCGGUAGAGAGAAGCUUGCUUCUCUUGAGAGCGGCGGACGGGUGAGUAACGCCUAGGAAUCUGCCUGGUAGUGGGGGAUAACGUUCGGAAACGGACGCUAAUACCGCAUACGUCCUACGGGAGAAAGCAGGGGACCUUCGGGCCUUGCGCUAUCAGAUGAGCCUAGGUCGGAUUAGCUAGUUGGUGAGGUAAUGGCUCACCAAGGCGACGAUCCGUAACUGGUCUGAGAGGAUGAUCAGUCACACUGGAACUGAGACACGGUCCAGACUCCUACGGGAGGCGGCAGUGGGGAAUAUUGGACAAUGGGCGAAAGCCUGAUCCAGCCAUGCCGCGUGUGUGAAGAAGGUCUUCGGAUUGUAAAGCACUUUAAGUUGGGAGGAAGGGUUGUAGAUUAAUACUCUGCAAUUUUGACGUUACCGACAGAAUAAGCACCGGCUAACUCUGUGCCAGCCGCCGCGGUAA